rnacentral:rRNA from 1 species
GAUCCUGGCUUAGGAUGAACGCUGGCGGCGUGCCUAACACAUGCAAGUCGAACGGGGUUAAGGGAAAUUUCGGAUGGAACUUAACUAGUGGCGGACGGGUGAGUAACGCGUGGAUAACCUGCCUCACACAGGGGGAUAGCAGCUGGAAACGGCUGGUAAUACCACAUAAGACCACAAAGCCGCAUGGCUUUGAGGUAAAAGAUUUAUCGGUGUGAGAUGGAUCCGCGUCUGAUUAGCCAGUUGGCGGGGUAACGGCCCACCAAAGCGACGAUCAGUAGCCGGCCUGAGAGGGUGAACGGCCACAUUGGGACUGAGACACGGCCCAAACUCCUACGGGAGGCAGCAGUGGGGAAUAUUGCACAAUGGGCGCAAGCCUGAUGCAGCCAACGCCGCGUGAGUGAAGAAGUAUUUCGGUAUGUAAAGCUCUAUCGGCAGGGAAGAAAGGCCCGAAAGGGAGAUGACGGUACCUGACUAAGAAGCCCCGGCUAACUACGUGCCAGCCGCAGC